UACGAAGGGGGCUAGCGUUGCUCGGAAUUACUGGGCGUAAAGCGCACGUAGCGGUCUUUUAAGUCGGGGGUGAAAUCCUGGAGCUCAACUCCAGAACUGCCUCGAUACUGGAAGACUCGAGUCCGGGAGAGGUGAGUGGAACUGGCGAGUGUAGAGGUGAAAAUUCGUAGAUAUUCGCAAGAACACCAGUGGCGAAGGCGGACUCACUGGCCCGGUACGU
rnacentral:rRNA from 1 species